AAGCUUGUGGGAUCAGCUACAUUCCUGUAACAAGAUUAAGAUGAGGUGGGAGUUGAGGUAUGCAAUUGCAGUAGGGGCUGCAAGGGGAUUGGAGUACUUGCAUCAUGGGUUCGAUAGGCCAGUGAUUCACAGAGAUGUGAAGUCGAGUAAUAUUUUGUUGGAUAAGGAGUGGAAGCCUAGAAUUGCUGAUUUUGGACUUGCUAAGAUUAUGCAGGCUGCCGGUGGAGGAGAUUCGAGUCAUAUCAUUGCCGGCACUCUUGGUUACAUGGCUCCUGAGUAUGCAUACACAUGCAAGGUAAAUGAGAAG
rnacentral:misc_RNA from 1 species